GCCUUGCUUUUGCUACCUCAGGUUAUGAUUACAGUCAUGCCGUUUUCAGGGAGACAUGCCUGAGACUGCCUUGCGUUGUACAUGAUGUUCCAGGCAGGCAGCAAGUAACUCUCAUGCUCCAUGACUUACUUGGUUUUGCAGGUGCCCAAAGUGAGCCCAGGCUGUUGACCUGAACAUGCUAUUCCUCUGAAAGCCUUUGAACUUUGAGUUUUCUUCCCUGAGUUCGCCAGAACAAAGUUGUUCAUCUCCUGGACGUAAUGAAAGGCCAGUUUUCUUCCAUCCCAUUCCCAGACUGUUUAGGCAAUGUAAUACUUGAAGUAAGCUUUAUUUUUUAAAAUUUUUAAUGCCAUAUAAUCUGUUUCAUGUAAACUUCCUGGACAAGAUCCUGGACACCUUGUAUACGCCUGCUUUAACCAUUUGGUCUGUCUCAUGUUUAUCUCUGUCUUGUAGUAACAAGUGUUCCAGUUUCCUCCUGUUUCCUUUUCAGAUUUUACCUUCUGCAUCACCCACACGGAGGCUGAGUGUGUCUUUUUUCCCAUAUGCCAUGGCUGGCAAUAAAAAUGAACCUCAUGACAGCAAGGAGGAGUUUGCACUUCAGAACUGUUUUAUCACAGAAAGCGUAACAGCAUGCAUCUUCUUCUGGGGAUGGAGUCAUGCAGUGAAUAGACAUGGCAACAAGCAAGGGCCCUGAAGUAAGGCAUGAAAACUGCGCGCUAUUCCUAAGUGGAGUAAAAAGCUGGGCAUUUCCCUCACACCUUAAGGAAAAGUGACGAAUGGCACAAAAUGCUGCUCUUGUGGAUGAGAAAUUAAAUGUGGAAUGGAGGGGUGAGACCAUCUGAAAUACUGCACCUACUUUCAGGCAUUGUCCUUGACUGGAAAUGUGGACUCACUGGAGGGAAUUCAGAGGGCAGCAAAGGGAACGUGAGGUUUAGGAAAUGAAGAAAGUUUCAGAGCACUGGCUAUGUUUAAUCCAGAAAAUGAAACUCUGAGUGGGGAACAUGAGAAACCUUUCAUUAUGUAAAAGGGUGCUAUUAAAGAAGAUAAUGAUCAGUUGUUCUCUUUGUUCAUUUAGGAAGUGCAGGAAGAAAUCAGAUUAAUUUUUGCUUACUCUGCAGCUAAAAAGACUCAGGCUGGAUACUAUGAAAAGUUUGUUAAGGUAGUAGUAUUCCCAUUAGUCUACCUGAGGGUGCACAACAUCCUCAUUUCUUCAUUGGUUUAUUACCAAAAAUCUCAGUACCUGAAAUGUGCUUUAGAUACACUUCCUCUGCAUUUUGUAACUUCUUGAUGUGUCUUCAGGCCACACAGAACUACUGAGCAAUUUCUGGAUAAAUCAAACAAAGAUGCCGUGUUUCUAACAAUAUGUGCUAAUUAUCUUGAGAGCACUGUCUGAGAGAUUAUGGGCUCACCCAUUCCCAUUCAAUUCUCACGUUGAGCUUUGGAGAGAGCUAAGCAUGCCAUAGUCUAAUAAAGCACAGGAGAAAAGUAAAUUGGAAAAUCAAAACCCCUCAGAGGAUAACAAAAACAUGGAAAAUGAUUGAUUGAUUAAAUGAUUAAUGCAAAGAAUGUCUGAAGAUGCUGUGGGGAGAAGGAACAGUUGCAGGCGUGUGAGAAAGUGGCCUCGGCAAAGCGAGGCAUGCAGGUGACGAAGGAAUAUCUUCCUGACAUAGAACUGUGAAAGAGCCAUGUGAAAAGUGGGAGAGUGGGCAGAUUAAAGCAGUGGCAGAUGAAGCGUAGGAGGCAGCAAAGAAAAGCUGAAACAUACAUGAGGAUGAAGUAAUAGAUCUCCUUCCCCCUUCCUUAAAUUACCGGAUGGGAGGUGGGGCUGGUUUGAAAGAGCUGUAAAGGAGAGCGAAAGCACUCUUCAGUCUGGACCUGCCCUGCACAGCUCCUGAGGAAGACUUAGUGUCGUCAGAAACCACUGGCUCUCCCCGUGCCUGCCUGUUCAGAAGCACUUUCCUACUUUGGACACUGCAAAUACUCAGUGGUGUCUGGAGCUCAUGUUCCUUCUCCUGUGCCAGCCUGUGUGGACAUGGAAAAGAGAAAGGACAAUCACCUGCAAGAUGGUAAAUCAUCAGCUGAGGAUCAACUUUGAACAGAUUAAAUGAAGAACAGUUG